GACGAACGCUGGCGGCGUGCCUAACACAUGCAAGUCGAACGGAGUGAUGAUUUCGGUUAUCACUUAGUGGCGAACGGGUGAGUAACGCGUGAGAAACCUGCCUUUCAGUGGGGGACGAACAGUUGGAAACGACUGCUAAUACCGCAUAAUGUCAUUUGGGGGUCGAUCCCUGGAUGACCAAAGAUUUAUUGCUGAAAGAUGGUCUCGCGUCUGAUUAGCUAGUUGGCGGGGUAACGGCCCACCAAGGCGACGAUCAGUAGCCGGUCUGAGAGGAUGAACGGCCACAUUGGGACUGAGAUACGGCCCAG
rnacentral:rRNA from 1 species